GUUUCAGUUUCAGCCAUCUGUCCUGAUUUCUUUAAAUUUUCUGUUUUUAUGCUUUUUUUCUGUUUUGAUUUCUCAUCUUGUUUCCAUUCAGUGAGUUGAUCUGCUGUCUGAGCUGAUCUGUGUCAAACCGUCACAGCAGGUCGCGUGGGUGUGUGGAGGGACGUCUUCACUGUGUCCAUGAACGAAACCUUUGAUGCUUAUUACAGACAGAAGAUGGCGAAAUCCGACCUCAGCUUUGACUUUUGCCUGUGACCCCCCCCCACUGACCCCCAUCUCAAAGACAUUAAUGCUUCUCCUCCAUCAGCUCGGCCUGACAGCAGGAGGACCUUUAGAAAAGGUUUCCCAUGAUGCAUUCUGUUCCCUUCCAGCCUGAUUGAUCCGCUGUUCCCUCUGCAUGGCGGCCGCCGUAGGCUCGUCCCCGCAGGGCGUCAGGGUAGCAGCGUCCUGCUGUAGAAGGCAGAGGAGCAGCAGCUGUUCAGGUCACACCGUCGCUCCUCAGAUUAACAUUAGAAGCUUCUUCAGUAUCUCUCCAGUCUUUGCUUUGGUGAUGUUAUACGUAUGGAUGUCAUCGACCUGAACCUUCACUGAUUCCUUCGUCACUCAGACCCCCAGCUAACCGGCGUUAGCUGAAGCGUAGGUCAGAGAAACGGCUCCCAGUUCCGUUGGUCGACUGUAUACCUAGACAACUACCUUAUCUUUAAAUGGCUCCUCCUCUGAUAGACGUCAUCUUAGAGCAUUGCUGCACUGAGGUCAGACUGACAGUGGGACGCAGCCCACAGCAUGACGACUCCUCCACCGAACUUUGGCAGGUGGUGUUCGGCUGAUCCUUCAUGGCUGCAGCCAACAUCCUGUUGCUCCGCCCAUAAUCAGGCUGUCCAUCAGAUUCACUGCCAAAAAGAAAAUCCCGCUGACCAACUAUCCUUCUCCAGCAUUCAGUCACACAUCUGCUCAGAGAUCAUUGAUGGUUUGGAGGAAAUAUUAUGACAUUAAACUGUGUUUUUCAUCCAGCAGCUUUUUACUGUAAGGUUUAAUCAUCAGACCCAUGAUGAGCCACAGACAGCUGUUCAUUGCUCACAGCAGGACUGGCCUUCUAGAAACGUUUGAGCUGGGAGGAGCAGCACUGCGCCGGCAUAGCCCCACCCACUACUUCAACCUUUAACAUUUUGUCUAAUUAAAUCCAGCUUUAUUCGUACAGCACCUUCUAAACAAUGCAUCACAUUGACCAAAGCAACCCAAGCAGGUUCUGUUUUAGAACAAUCUCCAAGCUUUGAACAUCUCCCUACAUGAAGGUCCAGGGUGGGAGGAGCUGCAGAGAUCCACAGCUCAGGUGGAGGAUCUAUCUGCAGCUCUGAGAUCUGAUCUUGUCAAUCAAAGCUGAAGGCAGAGAGAAGGUGGCGUCCCGUGAGGACGAGCAGACAUGAGGAAUAAGCUGCAUCACAGCUGGAAUCUGGGCUGGAGCUUCAUCUGCAGGAGAUGGACCCUAAACAUGAAGCCAGUAGAACCAAAGCGGUGUUAGAAUGGCCUAGUCAAAGCCCAGACCUACCUCUACAUUCCCAUUAAAUCAGAACUCCAUCCAACAUUAGGAUGCUGAAUGUGAUGUUCUAUGUUAGAUGGAUCUAUCUGUGAAAUUCUACUUCUCUCCUUUUGGCUCUGAAGCUCCAUAAAGACUCAGUUUAGUUUCUAUUACAGCUCCUCUGUCUCCCAGGUGGCCUGGUUUAUGCUAAUCCUUUAUGUGAACCCAUGAGGGACGAGUCGGUCUUAUUGAAUCUCAUAAAGAGGAUCCGAACACGAAGAAGAUCAACGUUAAAACGUCUCAUCUCUGGCUGCACAGGUGUUUUCCAUGUUCUUCGGUCGCCCUGUUACCCAACAGUCUUUAGGUGUUAUCUGUGUCUUUAGGCCGUCUGAUCAAAUCUUACUGAUCUGUAUUUAAUCCACGAUGAAAGAUGUAAGCAGAAAUUCAGAGGAAAACAGUUUUUACCAAGAACUUCCCAUCGGUUGAACAGACUUGUCUGUUUUAACUAAAAGCUGCCAGACUGUAAGAGCUGAACGCAGGAAUAAAGCUCACCUGUUCAAACUCACCUCUGGGUCCAGUUUCUGCUACAUAUUGGAAUAAAGCCAACUUUGUAAAUAGAAAA